rnacentral:rRNA from 1 species
AGAGCGAACGCUGGCGGCAGGCUUAACACAUGCAAGUCGGGCGGGCGUAGCAAUACGUCAGCGGCAGACGGGUGAGUAACGCGUGGGAACGUACCUUUUGGUUCGGAACAACACAGGGAAACUUGUGCUAAAUACCGGAUAAGCCCUUACGGGGAAAGAUUUAUCGCCAAAAGAUCGGCCCGCGUCUGAUUAGCUAGUUGGUGAGGUAACGGCUCACCAAGGCGACGAUCAGUAGCUGGUCUGAGAGGAUGAUCAGCCACAUUGGGACUGAGACACGGCCCAAACUCCUACGGGAGGCAGCAGUGGGGAAUAUUGGACAAUGGGCGCAAGCCUGAUCCAGCCAUGCCGCGUGAGUGAUGAAGGCCCUAGGGUUGUAAAGCUCUUUUGUGCGGGAAGAUAAUGACGGUACCGCAAGAAUAAGCCCGGCUAACUUCGUGCCAGCAGCCGC